rnacentral:misc_RNA from 1 species
AAGUCGUAACAAGGUUUCCGUAGGUGAACCUGCGGAAGGAUCAUUAGAAAAAAUUGAGGUAUUUUUAUACCUCUUGUAUUUAAAAUCCAACUCUAUAUAAACCUAAAUUUUUUAAUAAAAAUAAAAACUUUCAACAACGGAUCUCUUGGUUCUG